GUGGGGAAUCUUGCGCAAUGGCCGAAAGCCUGACGCAGCCAUGCCGCGUGCAUGAUGAAGGUCUUAGGAUUGUAAAAUUCUUUCACCGGGGACGAUAAUGACGGUACCCGGAGAAGAAGCUCCGGCUAACUUCGUGCCAGCAGCCGCGGUAAUACGUAGGGGGCUACAGUUGCUCGGCAUUACUGGGCCUAAAGGGCGCGUAGGCGGACAGCUUAGGCAGUGGUGCAAGCCCAGGCCUCAACCUUGGAAGUGCCUUUGAUACUGGCUGUGUUGAGUUUGGGAUGGGUCAGUGGAACUCCGAGUGUAGAGGUGAAAUUCGUAGAUAUUCGGAAAAACACCACUGGCGAAGGCGACUCACUGGCCCAAUACUGACGCUGAGGCGCGAAAGCAUGGGGAGCAAACAGGAUUAGAUACCCGAGUAGUCC
rnacentral:rRNA from 1 species